UGGUGACCUGUGCUGGCAUCAGGCCCAUCUGCAUUCUCUGGGCCAACUCAGAGAGCUGUCUAAGGAUGUGAUUGGCAGAAAUCAGUUCUCCCCCACUCCGCAAGCAUUUUUAAUCUUAAAAGGAACUGGGGAGAAAAGGAUGAUUUAAAGUCCCCUUUCUUUCAUUUCCUCCAGCUUUCAAGACAUUUUUGCUAGGAGGGAACGAGGCUCCCAACAGUUCUCUGUCUCCGUUUCCCAGCAUCCGACCUGCUCCCCUGACUACUAAUCUGGGUUGGAGCUUCAGCAGAUAAACAAAGCAGACCCUCCCAGGAAGGCUGGUGUAAGAAGCCUGGAGACUGAGGAGGCAGAAUACAAAUGAAGGCGACUCCUGCCUGCUGACAGAGGUGUGCCAAACUCCAUGGCUCGGUUCUGCUCACCAGGAUCAGCACAUGGCCGCCGGCAGCUCUGGGGAUGAUAAACUGCCCACGUGGACUUGGGGGUGCUGUGGCCUGGUCAUUUCACUGCGGCUUUUCGUGGCUCUGCUGGAGGACAAGUGAUCAUCUGGUUACUGUUCUAGAACAAACCGACCGGCUAACCAGUGUCACAGAGAAACCCCUGCUGAUGCUCUUCAUGUGGAUCAAACGUGGGAGGAGCCUUGGCAGGAGGCAGGCCCAGUGCAGCAUGGGUUGAGUGCACCGCAUGUGUGUGGGCAUGCUGAGCAUGGCUGUUUGCAUCCACAGGGUCAACUGUAUAACUACUGCUGUCAAUGCUACUUCCGACUGCACCAAGUCCUUCGUGAGGAUGAAAAGGAGGCCCAAACAGUAGCUGCCGGUUUGCUUGAGGAUACCCUGGUCCUCAGUGACAGAGGUGGUUUAAUCCUGGGGGCCCUGACUCCUAACCCAUGAGUCUUGUUAUCUUCCCCUGGCCAGUCUCAAAUUCCUGGGCCGAAGAGACUUUACUCCUCAGCCCCAGGAGCUGAGACUACACAGAUACAAGCCUUUGCUGUGGCCUGGGUGUCUUCAUAACAGCCUUUAGCCAAGUUCCUUUUCAAAUACCUGACGUGGAUUAUUUCGGAGACUCCAGAUGGACAGAAUGAAGCUGAGCUUCUGACUAAACAGGAACUGGCUCUAACUGUGAGAUGUCCAGGUAACUAUGAGGAAUGCCAGAUGAUUCUAGUUGCUUCUAGAAUACUGCCAGGGGAGGAUUAUGGUCAUAGCCGCUGGGCCUGGCUUGAGCCUCUCUGACAGCAGGCUUCUGCUCACAAGGCAGGGUAGGUGGGUGGUGAGUGUGGGCUCGUAGGAGGCAACGUCCCGGGCAAGACCUGGAACAGAGCCCCACACUGCAGAGGUGCCCGUGCCCUGUGCUGUCACACCUUGCUGCCUGGCGUGUCAGUGCGUCGUGACAGACACUUCAGAGCACCCUGAGACAGGGAGCUCACAACUGUUUUGCAAACAAUUGUCAUUCAUGGUCCUAAAAUAGCUACAUUUGGCACACGUCUCAGAACACUGCCUGCACUCCCAUAAUCAAGAUGCGGCACGGCUGUGGCCUGCGGGUGACAUAAAACCCAACUUGCAAAUAUUAUUAGGCACACAGACCAGCUGUCUCGAGGAGCUGAUUAAUCCCCAGCAGGAACGUCGGCAUGCGGCACACAUGCCAUCUGCAGAAUACAUUCGCAAAUACAUGCCGGACCUUUCUAUCCGGUGGAAAGGCCAGGGCCUGGCAGAACCAGUGGAGGAGUUAUAGGAACAGCUGGGCUAUCCAAGGCUGGAAAAUGAGACUCUCUCUAGUCCCCCGACACAUGUGAGCUUAAGAGGUUGCCCCUUAGGGCUUUUUCCAUAAAAUAAAGGGAAAACGGAACUUAUGACUAAUUCUCUCCAUUUUUACACUCUGCUCUUGGUGAGAGACAGUAGGCAGAGUUCAAGAACAUGCCUGUCCUGCUUCUAAAUCCUGCUCUUCCACUUGUGAGCUUUGUGACUUUGUACAAAUACCUCUGCUGACUUUCUGAGUCUAUUUCCUCCCCCUUGAAAGUCAGGCAGUUCCAGCUCCCCACAUGCCCUGGCCCUUCCUUGUUCUCUGCUUCAAGACAGCGCAGACUGUCCAUAUAUCCUUCCAUAUUCCACCACUGAAUCCUCACCUAUCCCUCCCCAGUGUUCAGUUUGGUAAAGGAAAGGAAGAGGAAAUCAUGUCCGCAGAGGUAAGAUAGAAUCUGUUGGGAAAUAGAGUCAAGGAGAUGCUAAAUCAAGGAUUAAGGCUAGUCCUCAGGAAGGAGUUCGGACAGUGGCUGGGAUGUGAUGGGGGAGGCAGGGCAGAAAGGCAGCCCUGACGGGGAAGUGUAGGAAGGGAGGCUGCAUGGCCAGCCUGAGGGAGUCCUGGGUGGGUUCCAGAGCAGAAGCUGACAUGAGAGGUGCCAGUCACCUAAGGCUGCAGUUUGGGGCACCUUAAUGAACGGUGCACGACUUCCACACCCAAGCCCUUCCAACAGUGCCUCUGUUAGCAUCUGUGGCUCCUUUGCAGAGUCCAAAGUCUGGUUAAGAAUGAGAAAACAGCCUUGCAGGGCUCUCCUCCUGCCACCGAGACUUUCUCUCACACAGAAGAAUGUUCCUGGCUUCUACUAGAGCCAUGUCCUAAGUUAAAUCUUCAGGGAGUCCUUUUCUAAAUCAAGAAUUCAGGUUGUCAACCUUCACUUAUUCUAGGGCUCUGCUCACAUUCACUGAGAGCCUCUUGGCAUCCCAUGCCACCAAACUCGUGCCUGCAUGUCACCAAACUCACGUCUGCAUGUCACCAAACUCGUGCCUGCAUGUCCCCAAACUCGUGUCUGCAUGUCCCCCUCUGCUUAGAGACACAGUCCUACUCUGUCCGACUCUGGGUGUGCGUCUGUGUACAUGUCCCACUCUACAUGAUCCUGAGCGGCUUGCUGUGUGAGUAUAAGGCUCCAGGACAAGACAUGCCACAUAGUGGAGGAGUUCAAAUAGCUGAGCUGUUUGCUCAACGUGAAGUGGAGCAUUUGGGCAGUAUCUGUAACCCAGCAGGGGCUAGGUUUGACAUUUCCCUUAGCACUCAUCAGACUUCUGUUCUGAGUCAAAGAAAAGAAGGGAAGAAUUGGCAUUAAAAAAAAAAAAAGGAAAGAGAACUAGGAAGAGAAUGUUCUAGAAAGGAGUGAAAUGGCUACGAUUCGUUCUGAAAGCAGCACCCUACAGUAUAUUGCAGUUACUGCUCAGAGUGGCCAAGUGAACCUCACCAGUGACCAUCACCCUCUGCUGAGUCCUGGCAUCAAAUGCACAGAAGCCGUUGCAGCUGCUGGUUCCUCACUUAGUCCCACACCUGGACAUAAGAGCAACCAGCAAGGCAGAAACCACCCGCAGGAAUUCCCUCCUUGCACCUGCAGCUCUACUAACUCACAGUCACCUGGGUGGGGUGGCUUUGGGUUCGGUGUGCUUUACACAAAGACUGUCCAUGAAUUAAUUUUUGUAGGGUUGGGUGGAGGCAGACAAAGAAAGCAAGCAGGGCUUUUCAAGGAACUCCACCGUCCAGUUCCUCCAGACCAUCUCUUUCCCCUUCAAGCCUUGCUCUGCUCAGGCUGGCUUGCUGGGGGCCAUGGAAGGCAGAUGCAGAGUGAGGUCAGGAUUGGCCUCCAUGGGCCUCUGCAGGCUCCCACAAGGAGGCGCCCUCAGUGGGGUGCUCCCUCCUCCUGCUGCCUUGCAAACCUUAAACCCUGGCUGCCCUGACAUUAGCGCUGAGGCAUCACAGUGCCCUCAGACUCUGAAAACCUGCCUGUUCCACGGUAAAAGAGCGCAAUUAAAGUCUCUCCUCGGAGCGUCACCUGCUUCCUGCUGCGACACGACUGAUUGGGACUGAGCUAGAACCUGGCCGCCAAGACUCUACUUUCUCCAAAAGCAGAGCGCUUUGAUCAAGUGCACAGGGAUACUUCCAGAAAGGCAGGUGCACCGUGGGAGUAGACACCAGCUCACUAACCAGUGCUGCACCCAUCUAUGACCCACCAGUCCCCCACCUGAGAACUGCCAUCUCCUGCCGGACCAGAGGGGAAGAAAAGAGCAGCAGGAGGAAAUGAAGGUAAGGAGCAAGGGCGGCGCAGAGCAAAGAUGCAAUCAGGAGCCUAUGUCAUGGGCA